rnacentral:RNase_P_RNA from 1 species
CAAGCACGCCGGGUGAUCGCGGCGGGAGUCUCCGCAAGGGGAUGUUCUGUCGAGGAAAGUCCGCUCUCCAUAGGGUACGGUGCCGGUUAACAACCGGGCGGAGUGAUCCGAUGGAAUAGUGCAACAGAGAAGGAUAUUGCGGAAUGUCCCGUCGGGGACAUUCCGUGAGGGUGAAACGGUAGUGUAAGAGACUACCAGCGCGGUUGGUAACAAUCGCGGCUGGGCAAACCCCACCGGGAGCAAGGCAAAGCAGGCGCAUUGGGGCGACCCGUCCCGCAAAAAGCGCCGGGUAUGCCGCUUGACGGCGCGAGCAAUCGCGUUCGCAGAGAGAUGAUCACCGGGGGCAACCCCACAAAAAGCGGCUUAUAGGUGCGCUUGAGCG